CUCCCCGAGGUUUGCACCACGCACAAGCCACAGCGCAGCCUCGCUUGCACACCACCAACCAAACCAAACCAAACUGGCGAUCGAUCGCCGCAGAAUCGCUUUCAUCUCCCCGCAAAGCCAUCCUUUAACUCCCGCCCGUGCCACGACCUCUCGCAUUACCUUCCUUUAAAACCAUGCAAUCCUCCCAGCCGCUCCAUGCACUCCGACGACUUCCCAAGAACCCGCCAGCACUCCACCUAGCGGGACGAUCAAACCACCGGCCGUGUACGCGACGAUGAUGCCCGUGUACGGCGGCGAGGUGCGGCAGCGGACGUGCCGCAUGUACUGGUGCUACCAGUGCGCGCGGGCGCUCCGCAUCAUCUCCUACCCGGCCACCGACGUCUUCUGCCCGCGCUGCUACGGCCGCUUCCUCCACGAGAUCGACCCGCCGCCGCGCCCGGCCCUCCCCCCGCCGGGCUACUUCCCGCACCACUUCGCGCCGCACCCGCACGCGUACUACCACGACGGGAACCCGCGCCGGUGGGUCGUGUACGGCGCCGCGCCCACGGUGCCCGGACGCCCGUUCCGCCAGCUGCCCCCGCCGGUGCGGGAGCCGGCGCCGGGGCCGACGCGGGUCCAUGCGCCGGCCCCGACGCCCCCGCCUCGCCGGCGCAUGCCCUCCCCGCCGCCGGCGCCGGUGGCGCGGCGGCCGUCCACGCCCCCGGCCAUCGACCCGGGGGACUACUUCACGGGGGGCGACCUCAACCGCCUCGUGGAGGAGCUGACCCAGAACGACCGCCCCGGCCCCGCGCCGGCGCCCUCGUCGGCCAUCGACUCGCUCCCGACGGUGCGGAUCGCCGCGCAGCACCUGUCGGACGACGGCGGGUCGCAGUGCCCCGUGUGCAAGGAGGAGUUCGAGCUCGGGGAGGCCGCGCGGCAGCUGCCGUGCAAGCACGUGUACCACUCCGACUGCAUCGUGCCCUGGCUCCGCCUCCACAACUCCUGCCCCGUCUGCCGCUUCAAGCUGCCCGGCACCGGCGCCGCCUCCAGCACACGCCGCGCCAGCGGCAGCAACGGUGCAAGGAACAGAGACAGGGAGAGGGAGAGGGAGCCGGCGACGACGGUGAGGUGGGGGCCCCUGUCGUGGAUGGUGCCGGCGCGCGGGACGGAGGAGCCGGACGACGGGUGGGAGUACGGCCGGCGCGCGCACGGGCGCGGGCACGGCAGGCCCGAGGAUGGCGACGCCGGCGCUUUCUACGCGUGGUGGCGCUCUCUGUUUCUCCUCUAGCCGUUUCCAGCCGGGAUGCCAGUCACUACGCCAAAGACAACCUGAACCUGUUUGCUCAGUAAAGCAUGACAACCGCUGUAAAUAUUUCAACGGCAAUGGUGGAUGUACUGGAGAAGCAGAGCACACUGGAAAUAAAAUAGGAGAAUGUAAUAGUGCAAAAAACGGCCAAAAUGUAAUUGCGCCACUCACAAUGUAAACG